GAUGAACGCUGGCGGCGUGCCUAAUACAUGCAAGUCGAGCGAAGCGGGGACGGGUGAGUAACACGUGGAUAACCUCCUAUAAGACUUGGAUAACUUCGGUAAACCGGAGCUAAAACGGAUACUUAUAGAUGGGUCCUCGCUGCAUUAGCUAGUUGGGAAGUUAACGGCGUACAAAGGCCACGAUGCAUAGCCGACCUGAGAGGGUGAUCGGCCACACGUGAACUGAGACACGGUCCAGACUCCUACGGGAGGCAGCAGUAGGGAAGCUUCCGCAAUGGGCGAAAGCCUGACGGAGCAACGCAGCGGGAGUGAUGAAGGUCUUCGGAUCGUAAAACUCUGUUAUUAGGGAAGCGGUACCUAAUCAGAAAGCCACGGCUAACUACGUGCCAGCAGCCGCGGUAAUAC
rnacentral:rRNA from 1 species